AACUCGCCUGCACGAAGUCGGAAUUGCUAGUAAUCGUAGGUCAGCAUACUACGGUGAAUACGUUCCCGGGCCUUGUACACACCGCCCGUCAAGCCAUGGGAGCCGGGGGCGCCUGAAGUCCGGGACCGCGAGGACCGGCCUAGGGCGAAACUGGUAACUGGGGCUAAGUCGUAACAAGGUAUC
rnacentral:rRNA from 1 species